UACGUAGGGGGCGAGCGUUGUCCGGAUUUAUUGGGCGUAAAGAGCUCGUAGGCGGUUUGUCGCGUCUGCUGUGAAAACCUAAGGCUCAACCUUGGGCUUGCAGUGGGUACGGGCAGACUAGAGUGCGGUAGGGGGUGACUGGAAUUCCUGGUGUAGCGGUGGAAUGCGCAGAUAUCAGGAGGAACACCGAUGGCGAAGGCAGGUCACUGGGCCGCAACUGACGCUGAGGAGCGAAAGCAUGGGGAGCGAACAGG
rnacentral:rRNA from 1 species